UCGAUAUAUAAGAUGUUAAAAAAAAAAAAUCGAAUGAAAAAAAGAUUAUUCCAGACUUAAAAGUGAAUGGAAACAUGUCAAAUCUAUUCGUACGCUAAUCGAAAUGCCGUGAAAAUGGCCAGUUUGUAAUUGGGUUCGGUAUCACGCGGUAUCCGGCUUAACCGUUUCAUCUAUUGACGAUAAAUCUGAUAGGAAUAAAAAAGAAAUUGUAACUCCGACUGGAUUCGGUUUCGAUUUGUUUGAGGAUUCUCUUCGAUGAGAUCAUUGAGUUCAUUCGCUAAUAUAACUAAGUAGUUAUAUCAUUGACCAUGUACGUCUGCUCCAAUUUGGAACGCAGGAAGCGCGAAUGAUUUAGUGGAGCCUAUAUUAGUAGACACUUGACAGAGUCUAGUGGAAAAGCUUAAUGGCUCUCGUGAUCGGAAGGGAAGCGGUGAGAGGAGGCGAAAAAAAGGAAACCGCUUUACCGAUGUUGCAUCACGCCACGAUUUUUAUCGAGUGCCUCGUUUUACGAGUGCUAUUUCGAGUGCUUGUUCGGUGACGACGUGGAGAAAAGAAUAAAAGUGCGCGAAAGAUAUGGAGAAGGGAAAGAGAAGCGACAAGCAAAUAAAUUUCUUGGAUAUUAGAUUCGAACCAAAUAUAAAAACAGUCGUUCAUCGCGAAUAUUAAAAGAUAUUACUACCAUUCUCGAUAUCAUUGUAGAUGUGUAACAUUUGUUCAAUUCGUAUGACCAAUAACGAUCGUAUUCACUGUGAAUUGUUAUCUCUGUAGUACGUUCAGCUUAUCUUGAAAUCUAUCGUGUCGUAAUUUUAUUAUUGAAAUGCUUUUUUUUUUCUCCUAAUUUUUUUUCCUUUCUAUUCUUUUAAGCAUGAAAUAUGGGAAAGAAAACAGAUUACUCGACCACUAUAAAAGUAAGGUUAUAAUUCAAGAAAAGUUGAGAAAUACAGUACUAAGUAAUUA